rnacentral:rRNA from 1 species
GACGAACGCUGGCGGCGUGCUUAACACAUGCAAGUCGAACGGAAAGGCCCUGCUUGCAGGGUACUCGAGUGGCGAACGGGUGAGUAACACGUGGGUGAUCUGCCCUGCACUUCGGGAUAAGCCUGGGAAACUGGGUCUAAUACCGGAUAGGAGCCAUUUUUAGUGUGAUUGUUGGAAAGUUUUUUCGGUGUAGGCUGAGCUCGCGGCCUAUCAGCUUGUUGGUGGGGUAAUGGCCUACCAAGGCGGCGACGGGUAGCCGGCCUGAGAGGGUGGACGGCCACAUUGGGACUGAGAUACGGCCCAGACUCCUACGGGAGGCAGCAGUGGGGAAUAUUGCACAAUGGGCGCAAGCCUGAUGCAGCGACGCCGCGUGGGGGAUGACGGCCUUCGGGUUGUAAACUCCUUUCGCUAGGGACGAAGCUUUUUGUGACGGUACCUAGAUAAGAAGCACCGGCUAACUACGUG